rnacentral:rRNA from 1 species
GAUGAGCGCUAGCUACAGGCUUAACACAUGCAAGUCGAGGGGUCUUUUGGAGCUUGCUUUAAAAGACGACCGGCGCACGGGUGAGUAACGCGUAUCCAACCUGCCCUUCAUAUUGGGAUAGCCUUCCGAAAGGAAGAUUAAUACCGAAUAACAUGAUAGAGUUGCCUGAUUUUAUCAUGAAAGCUCCGGCGAUGAAGGAUGGGGAUGCGUUCCAUUAGGUAGUAGGCGGGGUAACGGCCCACCUAGCCGACGAUGGAUAGGGGUUCUGAGAGGAAGGUCCCCCACACUGGAACUGAGACACGGUCCAGACUCCUACGGGAGGCAGCAGUGAGGAAUAUUGGUCAAUGGGCGCAAGCCUGAACCAGCCAAGUAGCGUGAAGGAUGACUGCCCUAUGGGUUGUAAACUUCUUUUAUACGGGAACAAACCCCGGUACGUGUACCGGAUUGCGUGUACCGUAAGAAUAAGCAUCGGCUAACUCCGUGCCAGCCGCCGCUGUAACAC